ensembl:snRNA RNU6-60P RNA, U6 small nuclear 60, pseudogene
GUGCUUUGGCAGCACAUAUACUAAAAUUGGAACGAUGCAGAGAAGAUUAGCAUGGCCCCUGUGCAAGGAUGACACACAAAUUCAUGAAGCGUUCUGUAUUUUU